ACUAGGGUGGGGUUCUUGUUUGUUUGCUUGUUUGUUUUGUUCUGUUUUUCUUGUCAAGGGCAGUGUCAGAAGAGGGUGUGUUUACCCCUUGUGCAGUAGGGAUACUGGCCACUUUAAAUGUGUCACAAAACUAUUACUUUCUGGAUAGCUUUUAUUGAGAGGAGGAAACAGUUUUGGUCAUGAGUACAACUGGAUUAUCAGGACAAAGCAAAAAGAUUUGGCUAUGAUCACUUCAAAGCUUAGAAGAACAUCCCCUGCAGAAAGAUGUGUAGAGUUUGUAAAUUGCAAAGAGGAGUGUGAAACCUUGACACAACUUUUGCCCCACAGAAAAUAUAAAAGGACAAGGAAGCAGUCUUUCCCAUACACAAACCCCAAAUUACCCCGAGGGCAGUUCCUUCUGUGUGGCAGUAGAGUCUGUACUUAUACUUAAGUGAACACCCUAGCUGGCCUUUGUGCAGCAGAGAGGUUAAUUAUGCUCAUGCCUCCAAAGACCUAAUUGAGAAACUAGGAUAGGAAGUUCUUAGAAAAAGAACUUGCUUGCUCAGGGAUGCAAAGUAGAAACGUGGCAUCGUUGCCAUCAGCAGUGCUCAGUGAGGAAAUGACCCAGCUUCAGGGAGAUGCUGCCUUCGAGAGCAGGGCAGCCAGAGAUUGUCUCUUGCUGAGACACACACAUGGAUGAGAGGAGUUAAAGGAACACAAGUGUCAUAAACAGAGGGUUGUGGUGAAUGGCACCAUGUGCAGCCCAGUGGCAAGCAGUGUUUCCCAGGGGUCUGUCUUGGGAGCAGUGUUUUUCAACAUCUUCAUCAAUGACAUCGAUGAUGGGUUCAUAGAAUCACACCACAGAAUCACAGAAUGGCCUCGGUUGAAAAGGACCACAAUGAUCAUUGAGUUUCAACCCCCCUGCUUUGUGCAGGGAGGCUGCAGGGAGUUUCAACCCCCCUGCUUUGUGCAGGGAGUGCCACAUCCAGCCUGGCCUUGAAUGUCUCCAGCAACGGAGCAUCCACAACCUCCUCUGGCAACCUGUUCCAGUGUGUCACCACCUUCUGAGUGAAUCCUUUGAGUGCAUCCUCAGCAAGUUUGCUGAUGGCACCAAGCUGAGUGGUGCGUUUGACAUGUUAGAAUGAAGAUCAUAGAUUCAUAUAAUCAUAGAACUGCUUGGUUGGAAAAGACUUUAAAAGAUCAUCAAGUCCAACCUCAAUCUAAACAUACUACCCUAACUCUAACAACCCACUGCUAAAUCAUGUCUGUGAUCACCACAUCCAAAUGGUCUUUAUAUUCAUUCAGGGGUGGUGACUCAACCACCUCCCUGGGGAGCCUAUUCCAGUGCUUAGCAACCCUUUCUGUAAAGAAGUGUUUCCUGAUAUCCAACCUAAACUUACCCUGGCGUAACUUGAGGCCAUUUCCCCUCAUCCUGUCACCUGUCACUAGUGAGAAGAGACCAACCCCACUCUCGCUGCAAUCACCUUUCAGGUAUUUGAAGAGAGCGAUAACAUCUACCUUCAACCUCCUCUUCCCUAAACUAAACAGCCCUGGUUCUUUAGUCGCUUCUCAACGUGUCGUCCAGAGAGACCUCAACAAACUUGAAAGUUGGGCCCAUGUGAACCUAAUGAGGUUCAUCAUAACAACCAAUAGUGGACCAUCACGAUGCUAGAAGGAUGCUUGAUGACAUCAAAGAUUGCCAAAUAGGGCUAUGUCUGUUGGGCAAUCACUGGAAGUGGAUAGGAUAAUGAAUUUGGGAAUGUAACGAAUACAUAACAAAUGUGUAAAUAUAUUCCAUUCAUAAAGGAUCAACUGGUGGAGCAUUCUUGUAGAGUUAUCCCAGUGCUACCCCAACGCUGCCAAUAAAUACCUUGCUUUGAAUUAAUUGGCGACCCAGGUGAGACAAUCUCUGCUCGGCUGCAGGACCCAUUGAGAACAGGACUCCCUGGGCACCCCUGGAUAGUUCUCUGGAGAGAAUCCUUGCCUCAACUGGAUCACUGUGGGAACAGACAAGGACCAUCUGAGGGAGAAAAAAAAAAAAAAAAAAGUUCUCUUUACUUUUAAGUUUUGGGGAACAGUCCACUGGGGGGUCACUCAUAAGUCGGUGAGGAUCGCAGGGUUGGCCAGAUUUGGAAGAACCAAUUGCAGGCAGGAGUCCUGCUGGGUCUGGGAAGCCAUCCGUAAGUAAACAGAGAUUGCAAGGUUCAUGUAUGAGCACCCAGGUAUAUACAUUUAGGCCUGACUGUUGGUUCAUGCUCUACCAGGUAUGCCUGGGUUUUGAAACUAAGGUGCUGAAACUUGGCUUUGAUAACAUGUUUUUGUUUAAUGCCUAAGGAAACUGGGAACAUAAAUAUAUUGACAGGACCAGUACUUGUAAUUGAGUGUCCUAAUUGUGAGACUAAGUGAUGGGUGUUUAUGGAAGUUGGAGAACUGUACUGGUUUGACUUGUGGCUUUUGGAGGUAGUGGGACAAACUGUUUUGGUGGUAUGUGGAAGUUUAAUUGAUGAUGUAUGGAAUUCUUGAUUUUAAUGGUAUAUGGAAGUGUAAUUGAUGGUAUAUAUGGAAUCAUGACUGAUGGUAUUGAUUUUUAAUGGUAUACAAAUCUAUAACUAAUAGUUCAUGAAGGUGUAAUUAGAUGGAAUUUGCGGUAUCUUGGAAAUAGUAAUUAUUGCAACAGUUUGCUGUUGUGUUGAGAACAAUGUAUGUUAAUGUGAACAGCAUUAAAUGGACGGCAAUGAUAUCGGUUGGUUUGCUUGGCAAUAGAGAUUAGUAGAUCAGUUUAAGAACCAAUAUAUUAGUUUUGCAAAAGGAAUCCAUAAGUGAUAGUUCUAAAACUUUCCAUUUCAGAUUGAGUGGGUGAACAGUCUUGUUUUUCCUCAAUAAUUUUACAUUAUUGAGGAACAUAAUAGAAUACUUUUAUCUUCUGCCUCAAUGAUUUUGCCUCACAAGAAGUACUGGAGUCACAAUAGAAUACUUUUAUCUUUUGCCUCAAAACGUGCAAGGACAUUUUCCUCAGGUUCCACAUUUAUGUUUUACAAAAGUGUCUCACUAUGGCCUAAUAAGCAAUGGGAAUCCUCCAAUCUGGGGAAAAGUGAAUGAAAGGGAGUCAAAGGGUUCAGUGAUGAAGCUGAUGAUGAAAAAGGGGAAGGAAAAAGGGAACUCCACCGCCCUAGAUAGCACUGAGCAUGGCCAAAGGGACAUCAGCACAUAUCUAUGUGUCCAUGAAAAGGAGUGAAUAUGUAUGGCAGUGUACUGCAUAUGCAUGUCUUAACUGUAUAAAUGUAGAAGCUGAACUCUGAGAGGUGCGCUUGCUUGUCACGACGCGCGGUGCGCAACGUGAAGAAUAAAGGAAUGCUGCUUUCUAAC
rnacentral:lncRNA from 1 species